rnacentral:lncRNA from 1 species
UACAUAUCAAAAACACUGUGCAGGCACCAGAGUCCUGAGAUUGUCAGAGAAUUUCUCACAGCAAUGAAAAGCCACAAGUUGACCAAAGUUGGGGCUUUCCCAUGUGCCAAGACUGGUCUCGAAAUACUGGACUCAAGCAAUCCCCCCACCUUGACCUCCCAAAGUGCUGGGAUUACAGGCCGAGCUAUGACACCCAGCCUUCAGUUAUACAUUUCAAAGAACAUAAAAUAAUUUCCAUUAUAUUCAUUUAUUCUUUCACUCAUCUAAAUACUUAUUGAGCAUGUACUGUGUGCACUGACGCUACGUGCCGGGGAUCCAGAAGUGAACGAGCCAGACGAGGUGCUGCCCUUGUGGACCUUAAAUUCUAUUUAGGGAAGAGAAACAAUAAACAUGUAAACACAUUCCAGAUUACCUGCAGCAAUGGACACACCUUGUAACAGAUACACAGGAAAAUUAGAAGGGGAAACUCUAGAUCAGUGCUUCUGAAAUUUUUAAAGCACAAUCACUUUGGGGUCUGGUUAAAAUGCAGCUUUUCCUUCAGUGGGUCUGUGGUGGGGCCUAAGACUCUGCAUUUCCAGAGAAAACACAACACAAAAUGAAAUGCUUG